rnacentral:rRNA from 1 species
AUUGAACGCUGGCGGCAUGCCUUACACAUGCAAGUCGAACGGCAGCACGGGGGCAACCCUGGUGGCGAGUGGCGAACGGGUGAGUAACAUAUCGGAACGUGCCCUGGAGUGGGGGAUAACUAGUCGAAAGAUUAGCUAAUACCGCAUACGAUCUACGGAUGAAAGUGGGGGAUCGCAAGACCUCAUGCUCGUGGAGCGGCCGAUAUCUGAUUAGCUAGUUGGUGGGGUAAUGGCCUACCAAGGCAUCGAUCAGUAGCUGGUCUGAGAGGACGACCAGCCACACUGGGACUGAGACACGGCCCAGACUCCUACGGGAGGCAGCAGUGGGGAAUUUUGGACAAUGGGCGCAAGCCUGAUCCAGCAAUGCCGCGUGAGUGAAGAAGGCCUUCGGGUUGUAAAGCUCUUUUGUCAGGGAAGAAACGGUGAGGGCUAAUAUCCUUUGCUAAUGACGGUACCUGGAGAAUAAGCACCGGCUAACUACGUGCCAGCAGCCGCGGUAAUACGUAGGGUGCAAGCGUUAAUCGGAAUUACUGGGCGUAAAGCGUGCGCAGGCGGUUGUGCAAGACCGAUGUGAAAUCCCCGGGCUUAACCUGGGAAUGGCAUUGGUGACUGCACGGCUAGAGUGUGUCAGAGGGGGGUAGAAUUCCACGUGUAGCAGUGAAAUGCGUAGAGAUGUGGAGGAAUACCGAUGGCGAAGGCAGCCCCCUGGGAUAACACUGACGCUCAUGCACGAAAGCGUGGGGAGCAAACAGGAUUAGAUACCCUGGUAGUCCACGCCCUAAACGAUGUCAACUAGUUGUCGGGUCUUAAUUGACUUGGUAACGCAGCUAACGCGUGAAGUUGACCGCCUGGGGAGUACGGUCGCAAGAUUAAAACUCAAAGGAAUUGACGGGGACCCGCACAAGCGGUGGAUGAUGUGGAUUAAUUCGAUGCAACGCGAAAAACCUUACCUACCCUUGACAUGGCAGGAAUCCCGGAGAGAUUCGGGAGUGCUCGAAAGAGAACCUGCACACAGGUGCUGCAUGGCUGUCGUCAGCUCGUGUCGUGAGAUGUUGGGUUAAGUCCCGCAACGAGCGCAACCCUUGUCAUUAGUUGCUACGAAAGGGCACUCUAAUGAGACUGCCGGUGACAAACCGGAGGAAGGUGGGGAUGACGUCAAGUCCUCAUGGCCCUUAUGGGUAGGGCUUCACACGUCAUACAAUGGUACAUACAGAGGGCCGCCAACCCGCGAGGGGGAGCUAAUCCCAGAAAGUGUAUCGUAGUUCGGAUUGCAGUCUGCAACUCGACUGCAUGAAGUUGGAAUCGCUAGUAAUCGCGGAUCAGCAUGUCGCGGUGAAUACGUUCCCGGGUCU